UACGUAGGGUGCAAGCGUUAAUCGGAAUUACUGGGCGUAAAGCGUGCGCAGGCGGUUUAGUAAGUCUGGCGUGAAAUCCCCGGGCUUAACCUGGGAAUGGCGAUGGAGACUGCGAGGCUAGAGUUUGGCAGAGGGGGGUAGAAUUCCACGUGUAGCAGUGAAAUGCGUAGAGAUGUGGAGGAACACCGAUGGCGAAGGCAGCCCCCUGGGUCAAAACUGACGCUCAUGCACGAAAGCGUGGGGAGCAAACAGG
rnacentral:rRNA from 1 species